CGAGCUGCGGCGGGAGCGGCGGCUCUCCCGGGGCACCGCGGGCACCGCACCGCCGCGACGGGGCGGCCGCCCGCCCGCACAUGCCUCCCCGCCCGCCGCGCCGGCUCCCCGCGGUCCCCCGGCGCCGGUAGUGGGAGGCAGGGGGAAGCGCCCCCUCCUCUCUCUCCCCUCCCCGCCCCGAGCGCACACCGCCGGCCGGGAGCGCCGCUCCCCAGGCCGCCCCGCUGCCCCAAUGAUGACCGCCAAGGCGGUGGACAAGAUCCCGGUGACCCUCGGCGGGUUUGUGCACCAGCUCCCCGAGGGCAUUUACCCCGCCGAUGACAUCUCCGCCGCGCUGCCAACUUCGGUCGCGAUCUUCCCCAAUGCCGACCUGGCAGGGCCGUUUGACCAGAUGAGCGGUGUGGCAGGAGACGGCAUGAUCAACGUGGACAUGGGCGAUAAGCGGGCACUGGACCUGCCCUACGGCGGCGGCUUCGCGCCCAGCGCCCCGGCCUCCCGCAACCAGACCUUCACCUACAUGGGCAAAUUCUCCAUCGACCCGCAGUACCCCGGCGCCAGCUGCUACCCCGAGGGCAUCAUCAACAUCGUGAGCGCGGGGAUCCUGCAGGGGGUCAGCACGCCCUCCUCCGCCACCUCCUCCGCCUCCUCCGCCACCUCCUCCGCCUCCUCCUCGGCCACCGCCGCCUCCGCCGCCUCCCCCAAUCCGCUGGCCGGGGCCCUCGGCUGCACCAUGGCGCAGGGCCAGCCGGCCGACCUGGAACACCUGUACUCGCCACCUCCGCCGCCCUAUUCUGGGUGCGGCGACAUGUACCCCCAGGACCCCUCCUCGGCCUUCCUGCCCGCCGCCGGCGGCGGGGCGCUGCCUUUUCCCCCGCCGCCCUCCUACCCCUCCCCGAAGGCGGCGGCGGCCGACGGCGGGCUCUUCACCAUGAUCCCCGAGUACGGCGGCUUCUUCCCGCCGCCCCAGUGCCAGCGGGAGCUUCACGCCGGCCCCGACCGCAAACCCUUCCCCUGCCCCCUCGACUCGCUCCGCGUCCCGCCGCCCCUCACACCGCUCUCCACCAUCCGCAACUUCACCAUGGGGGCGCCCCCGGCGGGCGCCGCCCCCGGCAGCGCUCCCGGCGGCGGGGGCGAGGGCGCGGGCACCCGGCUGCCGGCCGGCGCCUACAGCCCGCACCACCUGCCGCUGCGGCCCAUCCUGCGGCCCCGCAAGUACCCCAACCGGCCCAGCAAGACGCCGGUCCACGAGCGGCCCUACCCCUGCCCCGCCGAGGGCUGCGACCGCCGCUUCUCCCGCUCCGACGAGCUCACCCGGCACAUCCGCAUCCACACGGGCCACAAGCCCUUCCAGUGCCGCAUCUGCAUGCGGAACUUCAGCCGCAGCGACCACCUCACCACCCACAUCCGCACGCACACCGGCGAGAAGCCCUUCGCCUGCGACUUCUGCGGCAGGAAGUUCGCCCGCUCCGACGAGAGGAAGCGGCACACCAAGAUCCACCUGCGCCAGAAGGAGCGGAAAGGAGCCGCCGCGGCCGGCGGGUGCCCGCAACCCGGCGGCGGGAGCGGCGCCGCCGCUCUGGCCCCCUGCGCGGCGCGGACGCGGACUCCCUGAAAGCGCGGGGCGCGCAGGACCCAGCGCUGAGCCGCUGAGCCGCCGCCGAGCGCGGCGGGGCGCGGUGAGCACCUGGCGGCGCCGCGGGGCUCCCCUGGGCCGGGCCGGGCCGGCGGGUGUACAUAGGGGCUGCGGCGGGAGGAUGGAUGCAUGCAGUGCCGUCGUGGUGAGGUGUCCUUGGUGCCUUGUGUGGUGUAGAGCCCGGUCCCCUGUCUGCAUGUGGGGGGGUGCCUUACCGAUCCGCUCCGACGACAGCGGCGACACCGAGACCGGAAAGUUUUCACUCCCUGGUUUUCGUAUGGCUGUACAUUUCUGCCUAUUAAUAUUGGGAUUUUUUUUUUUUAGAGACUAUAUUUUUGUACGCACUCGUUUGGGGUUUUGGUUUUGUUUUGUUUUGUUUUUUUAUUUUUUUUUAAUUUUUCUUUUUGGUGACUUAAAAGUGUUACGUUUAUAGUAGGACUUGGGACGGGAUGUAAAUAUUCUGGCUGGAACCGACGCCCGUUGUUUACCGGGACCUGGGUCGCAGCAGAUAACACGAAUAAUGCACAACUACUAACGGGAGCUGGAAGGAGAGAGGGUUUCUUUCUGGCCACACUGUAAAUAAACUUUUCGACAAUAGGGUCGGUGCUUACAACGUUUAUAAAAGACUACAAAUAAAUCUCUUAAUUAUGCUAAAUUGGCACCUUUAUUUCCGUAGGUUCCCCGGCCCAGCGAAGGGCCUCCCGCCCGCCCCCGGACCCGUGCGGCGAGGGCUGCGGAGCAGCCCGGUCCGGGCUCCGCUGGGCGCAGCGCUGCGCCUGGGCGCGGAAAAACAGCGGCCCCGCCGUACAAACACUCGCUCUGGGGCGCGGGGAUUUCCCUCGGAGAAGAGAGACGGGCUAAUAUUAACCAGGGAGCGGGGUGGGUUUUUUGACUCACUUUCUGUUUUGUUCCGCGGUUAUGAUCUGCCCCAGGCAACCUCCCCGAGUGGGCUGCGGAAGAGCGGGUACCGCCGCCCCGACGGCCGCUGCUCGGGGAAAGCGGCUCCCGGCGGCGCAGGCGGCACCGCGCCCGCUCUCGGGGGGCUCCGCGGGGGCGGCGGCGCUCACCCCCGCGGCACGACCGGGUUUUUUCUGCUGAACCCAUCUGACCGCAACAUCGCGCCUUUUUUUUUUUAACCUAUUUUUAUUAUUGUGUUUUAAGAUGUUAGCCCGGCCUGACCCCGCCAGGGCCCAUCUUUGGGUCCUGCCGUCGGUGCAGGGCUGUACUGGCCCUGCGGGCUCAACUGCUGCUACAGAUCCCCGGUGCGGUCUGCACCGCACAGGAUGGAGCACCCUGCUAAUGGCACAGCCCAGCACUGCGGGGAGCAAGGGCAAAGUUCUUGCCCAGCCGCUACCAGCAUCUGCUUGACUCGGUGCUGGGUCUCGCUGUGCAAAGCCCCAGCGGCACUUGCCUCUUCUGUCUGAAACGCCCUGCGCCCUGUCUCCUGGAACUGGCAUUGGCUUUUGGAGCGGCUGCUCUUUGCUUGGGAAAGGCAGUCAGUGGGAGCUGAAGCGAUGUGCCUGGUUUUGAAUCAGACGUGAAGCAGGCUUCCUAAGCUGGGCACAGACCAGUCUCUUUGGGAUGGAGAAGCCAAGCAGUGAGGCCAGCUCCAGAGCCACCAUGCUCACCAUCUCACUGUCCACCUUAGCAGCACAAGUAAACUUUUGCCUUCCCUGCUGUGUCUGCCAGCGGACUGCAGCUUCGCCAUCUCAUCCCAUGUGUGUCUGGUCCCCAAGAGCCCACAGCCUGCUGCUGGAAGGAUGUCACACGGAGCCGUGGCGUCCUUGGUCAGCAUCAGUGGGCUGCGGUUCAGGGAGGUGGACUCGGAUCCGCUGCUCUCAGCCUGCUGGGCUCCUGGAGGUACAGCCACGGACGGCCUUGGAAAACUGCAGCUCAGUCGCAGCAAGAGCGUUGUGAGCAAAAUUGGGAUCUCAGCUACCCAGGUGCGCAAAACGAGGCUCCACUUGCACUCUGCAGAUGCUACAAGAUUAAAACUCCAGUCAAAAGCAAAACAAGAUAAACAACACAGAAAUUGUAAAUGAACUGACUUCAGGAAACUGACACGACUAGCAUACAGCUACAAGAAAACCAUACAUCGUGUAUUAGCGUGAGCAGCUGUAAACUGGUGCCUUUGCCUUACAACAGCAGCCAGCUUCAGAAGUGGCAAUACCGCAUCUGCGUGGAUUUGUCUGCAGGGCGCCGGGGGAAGGUUUGGGCUGAGAACCCAGUGUUAAGCAUCGCCUUUCAAAGAAAGGCCAGUCACCCAUUCGGACUGUUAGGAAAAGAAACUCGUGCUCUGUACCAUACUUGAUUUAAGACUGUCGUACUUGUGAAGGAAAGUAAUGACUGGUCAGUGGUGAGAUAUCUUGUAUUUAUUCUAUAAUUCAGCAAUAACAGUAAUUUUGCUGUUGUGAAAACACAAUAACCAGACCGCAGAGAGAAGGAACGGCAUUACAGACUCAAACCUUCUGCUCACAGAUAUCCAGAACAUAUGAAAGAAGUUUCAAUUACUGAGUAAGCAAGAAGUUACACAAAGAAGCUUUUCUUCAAUGCAUCUCAGGUUUUCUUUGCUAUUUUCCCAGCGCUAAGACUUUGAUUCUAACAACUUUAUUAAAAAAAAAAGGAAAAGGUUUGCCAUGAUUGUUAACAGCACUCCACAGUGUAAGGGACCACGCCGUCCUCUACAGAAAGAUGCAUUGAAGUCCUAUCCCAUUAAACAUCUCAACUAGAUUUUACAUAUGGAGAAAAAAAAUUAAAAAUCAAGCAGAAAGACCUACGGGGAGGAUAAAGCAGAUGAGAUUAAAAAAAGGUCUCUGUCACAGUUUGUUUUUCCAGUACAGCUGUUUGCAUGCACCGGGCUAUCUUCUUCGUGGGCUUCUGAAAAAGCAUGAUGGUCUUCAUUAGCAUCGGAGAGAGCUGGAAACAGACUGUAACACAGGGAGGCAUUGCGUUAUAGUUAAUGACUACGUUCGAUAGAGAGUUGUUGUACAUUAACACUUAGCUGCAGGGGAAUUCCAGGAAAAACAGGUAAGCCAGCUGCAGAAAUAUCAGACACUUUAAAGUGAUGUAAGAAUAAAUGGAAAUUGCCUGAAAUAAUUUCCACAAUUUUUUUCCUUGCAAAAGUAUUAAUCUGUGCAUGCAUAAUGCUGACUGUAUUUUACAUUCAUUCUUUCGCAGGCCAAAAAAAAUAAAAAAGCAAUGCUGUAUCAGAAACCUUUAAAAAUUCACACAUACAAGCCACUGUUCAGGAAAAACAAGUCUGCUUUUAUAAAUACACAAAGAAAAAUUAAAGCCAGUUGUGGAAUGAUUUCUGGAGCAGGUCGGUACAUCACUCAGGAGGCUGGUAAGUCGCGCUUUCUUAUUCAAAUUCCCAAAUCGAGACCAAGAGGGCCAAGGCUGCCCAGGCCUGGGUUUGUGGUAUGAAGCGUGCGUUAGGAUGAAUGGGCACGAGACCAGUCCCUGUAGUGUAGACGGAGUAUUUCACCUAUAGAAAUAGUUCCUCCCUCGUUAGAAAGAUUGCAUCUCCUGCCGUGGACAAACUGCAUAUCCAAACUGCUUCCAUCAUAGCAAGGCAAAAUUCAGGGUGUCUCUUCUAUCCUACGUUUAUUUAAAAGCCUUAUGAAAAAGUAGUUUUUAUAAAUAGUAUAAAGAGGGAAACCGCAAGGCUUUACAAGCCUGAAGUGUUCACUUGUCCAUAUAAAAACACAGACCACGCUUUAAAGAGAAGACAUCAGGUCAAAUCUUAUCUGUACGUAGGGUAUGCACGCUGCUGUAUGUACAGUUUGCAAAUACGUCACAUUUCUGAAAUAGCUUCCAUGACACAACAGUGGAUGGUUGGUUUUUCUCUUAAGAUGCCCACAGUUGAUACCCUUCGCCGCUGCCGCAUGAGGUUCCAAACGAGGUUAAUUAGCAGCUGACUAGUCUCCUUCUCCUAGUUGAAGGAAAUAUGCAUAGACGUACUCUGCAGUUCUUAGUUGCAAUAGUGAGAUCUUAUAGGCAACGCUUUAAGGAACUGUUAGAAAUUCUGAACCUGACAGUGUCCCUUCGGAGCAGGAAUUCCCCUAACUACAGCCCUGGGGACCACCGGUGUUUACUGGAGGAACAUGUCCUGGCUCAGGCGUUGUUCUGGGUUUGUUUUUUGCUGGCAGGGUACAGCUCUUGCUGAGACUCGCUCUGGAGACAGAGUCCCCAAAGGCCGCAGCCUGCCCAGCCCCUGCCCAGGCUGGGUGGGCGUGCUCUGCCGGCUCAGGGGCACCAGCUGGCUCUGCCGGGGGGAGCCUGGGGCACCCCAGGACAACUCUUAUUGCAUUGAGUCUCCUUGAUGGAACCCAAUCUCCCUCGCUGACAUGCAGCCCUAACUAUUUACACAGGAUGCGGGAUGAUUUUCCCCCCAACCGUUCAGCUGAUCAGCACUUCACCGUGCCGCUCCUCCGCAUCAGCCCAAAGAAAUAAACACGCUCUGGCGUUUACUGCCCCCGGCUCCGGCAGGCCAGGAGCAGGAAGGCUUUGACCCGCGGCGCUCCCGAGCAGCCCCGGCCAGCAGCCGCGGUCCCGCCGGCCGGGAGCGGGACACGGGCUGAGCGCAGCCGUGGUUCGGGCGGUGCUGCCCGCCGGGGACGGGCCAGGCGCGGCUCCGUGAGGCGGGCCCGGCGGCGCGGGGAGGCCGCGAACUCGCGCCAACCGUCCCAUCGGCCGGGCCCGGGCCGCCGCCGGCUCAGAGGCUGACGCGGGGCCCGGGGUAGGGCUCGCCUCCGCACCAGAAGUCGGCGGCCUGUGGGGUCUCCAUCAGCCACACCUCCCGCGGCAGCCCGGGCGGCUCGGCGCCCGCCGGCGACCCCUCCAGCAGGCGGUAGUAGUGGCAGUCCCGGCCGUGCUGGGGGUCGUAGGGCGGCGCCAGGAUGUCGAGGAAGGCGGCGGGCCCGUCCACGGCGUCGAUCUGGUGGAGGUUGUCGGUUUGCGGCGAGAGCAGGCAGGGCGGGGAGGCCGGCGUGUACUGCUGGCGGGAGCGGAACAGGGCGCGGUGGCAGGGCCCGGCGGCGGGCGGCGGGGCGGCGGCGGCGGGGGGCAGCGUGUCCAUGCAGGCGAUGCGCAGCGUGCCGUAGAGCACCUUCAGCAAGCCGUUCAUGCCCGGGUGGUCGUGCAGCGGGAUGCAGGCGCCGCUCCGCAGCAGGAACACGCCCAUGCUGAAGCUCUCCGUCUCGCAGAUGUGCAUGUAGCUGACGGGCGGCACCGCGCCUGCCCUCAGGAACCCCCCGCCCGGCGCCGCCGCCGCUGCCGACGGCCCCCGCGGCGCCAAGUGCAAGUCCUCGGCGCGCACCUCGUCCAGCAGCUGCUGCAGCCGGUGCAGGUUCUCGCCGAAGGCCGGCCCGGCCGGGCUGCGGAACGUGAUCCGCGCCUGCCGCGCCACCCGCUGGAUCAGGGACGCCAUGUUGUCCCGGGGCAUGGCGGCGGCGGCGGCGACCCGCUCCGGCCCCGCCGCGCCUCGCCGCCGCGGGCGGUCCCGUCGCCGCUUCCGCCUCCUCCCCCUGUCCCCGCCGCGCAGGCGCCUCCGCGCCGCUGCGCACGACGGGGCUUGUAGUCCUGCCCGCCGCCCUGCGACCUCCGGCGGGGCGGCCCGCGGGCAGCGAGCGGCGGAGGAGGGAGCGGGGCUGCCAGCAGGGCCGGCGGAGAUGAACAUCGAACGAGCACAUGGAGUUCCAGACGCUGAUCCUCGGAGAAUCCACGUGUGGCAGAAAGGAUGGAUAAUCUUUUGGCUCACUUCCAACCUGGUUGAGCCUGCAUGUGGUUGUUUCAGGCUGAUGUACAAAAAGGGUACAGUGAUUUAUUCUUCCAGGGUGUUACAUGCAAUGUUUUAUUUCAUUUAUAGAUAUGUGGCAACAAUCCUAUUACCUGCUUUCUGAUACGCAUGACUACACAUAGCAGAUCAUGCCUAGAAAAUAUGGAGGUUUUGAAGUCAGAAAUUAACCUAUUAGUGCUGGGAUUUGUUAAAAUUAGGCUCUGAUCGCAAAAUUAUACAGGCUCACAACACCUUGAGUUCAAUUAUUUAAGCAGGUGUUCAGCACCUAAGUACCAUCGUAGGUGUAGGCCUAGCUGGUUAGGAUUCUGAAACAUAGCUGAAUGAUAAUAUUCAGUCAAUUAGGACUCCCGGGGCUGCAGCCCACCAAGUUUAAAAAGUUUAUUUAAAACCAAGGUAAACCAAUGUGUUAUCUUGAUUAAAGGCAAACUCAAGUCUUAAGAUAUGCAUUAAACUUAAGUGAGCCUUAUACGAUUCUUACAUAUUGUACCUGAAUCAGAAAUCUAGAUGUUGCAGCCAUGUGAUGGCCUAUAGAGGAUGAAAUACUGGUACUGUAAACAAAUAUGUGUGACUUGAAUCUUUCUUCCCAAACUUAUAUCCCUCCCUCUAUAAAUAAGUUUGCUGCACAGAAUGCAGACUUAGAUCAUGGCAUUAUUUCUUCCUCUUCAUAGAGGAGAAUCUUCAUUUGGUUUGCUGCUUUCAAGUUCCACGUGAAACCACAAAGCGUUGAAAUCCUCCGCUGUUUCAUGUUCACACACUGAUGUUUUAAGUCAUUGCUGUCUCCAGUUCCAGUGUUUGGAGCGCAGGGUGAAGAUCAGGUGAGCAUUUUUGUAUUUGGCAGGAGCAGAUCUGCCUGGAGGAUGGUGAAGAUAAGGGGGCAGAGGCCUUGAGUUGAGAGAUGGGGUUGUUACUGGCCUGGGAGCCGUUCUGCGCUGGAGUGAACUGCUGAGGACACCCACAAUCUCACCGCUGCUGUGUUGAUUGGCAACUGGCAUUUUGUUGGAGCCAAGGGAUUUGGACGGCUCCGUAUUCAGUGUGCUAUUCAGUGCCCUUCUGCAGGGACACUCACUUUAAAUAUGGCGGUACGGACUGGAAUUUUUGGCAGUUAUCAUUAUCAGUGACAAUGGUAAAUUAUCUCUCUGUUGGCUUAAGCUAUCCAUUUGUGUUCUGCCUCAGCAAUUACAUUUUAUACUUGCAAGAGAUUGCUGGAAUGCUCACUUUAGAACACACUGGCUCUUUUUCUAUGCCAUACAAAAAUAAGGCGUUUUGUGGAAACAGAAAUGCUUGGUAUUGGUAAGACAUUGCACUUGAGAUAACAUGCAGUUGUAAGAAAGAUCAGCAGAGUAAACUGGGAUCCUAAACUCUGAUCUCGGCCUGAUCUUGACUCGCUUGGUGAUAGUAGGUGAGUUACUUGAACCUUUUAGUGCAUAGCACUCUGUAAAUAUCCUGUGUACGAGGAUGUUUAUUAAGAUUUUAAGAACAUCUUUAUGUGAACAUUCCUGGUGGCUUGUUACAUUGGUGAUAGGGUUUAUGUUUCACCUUAUAAUCCUCAAUGUUUUUAACUACUGUAUUGAUUUCCAUUUCUAACAGAUACAAACAAAAAUAUGUCCUUGGCACUUAAUGUUCCAGUUAUACGUUGUAUCACACUCACAUUUUUCAGUGCAGUAAUACUAAAACAAACAACCUCAAAAGAAAAGCAAGAUGUCCAGCCAACUGACAAUUAAAUUGACAUGUUUUUUCUUCUGAAAGGCCAUAUUCUUAGCAAGCCUCUACUAUCCUGAGUGCAAAUGAAGAAAAAAAACCAUCACGGUGUAGUUGCUUUGCUGGGCUUCGAGACUGCUUUGUGUCGGUGAUGAAAUGACCAAAGUUCAGCCCAGUGGUUUUAUGAUAGAACCAGUAUGAGGGAGGUCAAGUUCAGGUUAUGGCUUUGGUCUCCUGCUGUGUUUGUUUUUUCCCCCCCACACAGAAGGAGAAUAUGUUGAGAAGUGUUAGAGCUAUUUUUUCCUGCCCAACCCCUCCUACUUCCAGGGUUCUCUCCUUUCUACCUGAACUCUCUUGUGGGAUGGACAGUUUUUCAGCUUCUCAUUAUUUUCACUUUCUUCUAGGAUUUGCUUCCAAGAUCCCUUUAAUUUGUUUUGAAAAGUCAAAAUUACUUGUAACCCAUCAGAUAAAACAACAGUGUUGAAUGGACAGAACUGAGAGCUGCCUGCCUAGAAGCUCAAUUGUUACCUGUACUUAAAUGUGGUGUCACAAUGCUAAAAUAUUUCUUUUACAAGGUGUAGAACUUGGACAGGCAGCACAGAGACCAUCCGCUGUUGUAAUGUUGCCAACAGCUGCAGAUGUAUGUUUACAUAGGACAAAAAAUAAGAAUCUGUGUCAAAGAAUGUCAUUUUUUGCAUUGUUUCUGCCACUCAUUCUGUGAGGGUAUAUAUUAUUAUUAUUUCUACAGCCACCACCAGUCAAGGAGAUAGAUAUGAAUGCUAGCCAAACAUGAUUCAGAUGAGAACAAGACUAAAAAGAGAGAAGACAAACAACAUAUCUGUAAUAUUUGCUGGCUCUCCAGUAAUGGCUUACGUAAAAGAAAGUUGGUUAUCAGUUAUUCAUCAGAGAGUUUAUAUAGCUGUAGAAACAGAGAGGAGUGCAGGAUAUAACUGUACUGAAAUCGAAAGGGGAAUUAGAUUCAUAUAUAUACCAAACUUCAGGCAGAUCUAUAUAACAUUAAGACUCCACCCACCUUUACCACUUCUUCACUGACACACGUCCUGUAUUCCAUUAACCCCUCGCUGCAUUCUUCAUUUGUUGUAGCCUCUCAGUUAAAUGCACUAUUUCUAUAUAAAGCACAUCAUCAGUGGGUUUUGUUGACAGUUUGCUACUGAACAGCCCAGAGCGGGAGUUGGGGUGACGCAGAGUGGGAAAGGCUGCGCAGCAUGCAACUCCCUGUCCGUGAGUUUGCUGACAUAACCAGCCUCAUUCUGAUCCGCUGGGUUUAGCUCCAUUGAUUUCGUGCUUUCCACUGGUGCAAAUUGGGUCCCCGCUGAUGUCUCCGGCACUGCCCAGGUUAGACUGUGGCGAUGGGUGCUGUGAGUUAGGCAUGGCCUGAUUCCUGCUGAACUCUCUGACUGUCUGUGGCUGAUCCUGGAUGUAAGGAAGACAAUGUUUACCAGCGUGGUUAGAAACUGCCCUCUCUUCUGGGCUUGUGGUUUGCAGGGAGGCAGCUCCGUCCAGAGCCGCUUCCGUGGUGUCUGUUGUAGCCACUGCAGCUGUGGAGCUGCGUGACACUUUCAACAGUUGUACGCACCCGUAACAAAAAAGAGAGAAAUCCCCUAAUGGUUGUGGAAAGAGUUAUUACCUGACUUUUCUAAGUUUUUGGUCUAUCUUUAAUGUUUUCUAAAGAUAAUCUGAUUAUAUAAUCUGAGAAAAAAUUGACCUUUAUGCCUAAAACUUAAAAAAACUUAAAAAUACUGUUGAGGUGUCCACAGUCCUGAGUGCUCAGAUGCAGGCAGGACAGUAAAAAAACCCAAUUUGUUGGUAAUUAAUGAGAUGAAAGAAACCCACAGCUCCAUUUGCAGUGUAACUCCGAGUCCACAAAAAGCUGUAUGAUCUCUCUUUCUUAUUACUGGCAUAACUUUCAAAAUGAAAUAUAAACAGGAAUGUGUAUGGAUAGUAUGUUAGAAUGUAAUUAGUAAUAAAUGGGAAUAAUUGAUUAAACUGGUUAAUCUUAUAGUGGAUAGAACACUAGUUUGGACCAUCGCUUUUAGUCUUUUAACUGGCAGCAGAAAAGACACAGUUAAAGGCGUGGUGUGUGUACUUGUGAUUUCUUCCCUGCAUACCUUCAUCUCUGGUUGUAUUAAAAUAAUGUGACAUUUGAUAUUUUACAUGAGUGCCUUCAAAAGCAGCAAAAUGCAUAGAAGUCAUUCAUCAUUUUACUUAUAAAAGUUAAUUCACAUGCUGACACUACCUGUUGAAAUCAGUUUCCUGGGAUAGCUGGCAUGGAAGGAUGGUUGUGCUUGGCCGUAGUCCUGAUGCUCUGUUAGCCUGAGAGGUCCGUCUCCUCCCUGGGUGUUUUUUGGGGCUCAAAGCGUGGCCCUCUACGGCAUUUUUGAAAUCACCUCCCUGUCGGUGCUUUGAAUUCUGUCACUGGCUGCCAGACCCGUAACGCCCUUCUGGUCCCCGUUCCAUCAGUGCCAAACUGAAGUGGGUUUUUUGUUUGUUUUGGUUUGUUUUUUUUCUCUCUCUGUUACUUUUUCAGAGAAUCCCGAGGGUCCCAUUUGGUUGCUCAGCAGGAGAGCGGAGGGUGGGAGAAGCUUGCAAGGUCACCUUGGCUUGGAAGCAGCUCCCUGGCCGCCAGCCGUCCCUCAGCAGCUGCCUUGGCAAUGGCAGGGGAAGGUUCUGUCUCUGUGGGUGUCUGUUCUCCCACUAUCACUGACUUCUGUGCCGUAUUUACUCUUGCCUGCCCUGAGAUGGGUGUGGUAUAUAGGCACUUUUGUGUUAGGGUAGGGUGUGAUUCUGCUCUGUUGGAGUCUGGGGGUUGGAAGUUGAUAGUUCACUAACUCUGGGGUCCCGGAGGGUGUGAGCUGUGGGUCUGCUACUGCUUGUGCUACCCCAAGUAGUGAUCACACGCCAACUGUUAGGAAUCCUUAUUAGCAAGGUCUAAAGUAAUCCUAUUUCUGUGGUUUAAAGAGUGACUGCUGUGCAGCUGAGUCACUGUAACCUGCUCGGUGCUCACUCAUAGCCUUCCCUCACUGCCAAAAAUGCUUUAGCACAGACUAUCUUGAAGCUAAGCCUUUCUUUUUCAUGCUCAUGAGUGAGGACUGGGUAUGAUUGUCACACAGGCGAUAAGUGAUAACGCAUGAAGCCAUAGUAACUUGGUUGCCUUUGGUUAUAUGUGUAACACGUCAUUUUAACAAUCACUUUUCGGUGUGAGAGAGAACUAUUUCAUUCCUUGAUUAUUUGGGAUCAAAUUUAUCCUAGUGGAGACCUGCAUAGGGUUAAUCAAUAAUGCUAAAUUUAAGAAGAAAAAAAGAAGUAGUUUGUAAGGAAUAGCCCAGAAUACUUUUCUUUUUAAAAUAAAUAAUAGUUUAAUUCUUUCAUGGUUUUACUGUUCAGCAGAAAAAAAAGAGAUGAACUGUAAAACGUAGUGGAUAAGGUGUAUAGUGGGACAGGGACAUUUCUUUUGGUGUUUGAAGUGUUUAGAUUAAUCAGUAAAAUCCUUCUUUGUCCCAUUGGUAAAGGGUCCGUUUUAAACUUGAGUCCUCUGGAAGCAGGAGGGAAAUUUUAUGCAAGCGUUUGAACAAGGGAGGUGAACGGAGGGAAACAGCAGCAGCAGGCCAGGAACUGCAGGGCUGUUAGAGCUGCCCACGCAGCGAUAUCGAUCUCUGAGUUGAGGUUGUAACCAGGAUUUGCCUACAUCCAGCGCAAAAGUAUUAAAAUACAAGAACAUCAGUUACUAAAUGUUGGGAAUUAGUAGAGGAAAAUGGCGAGGAAAAAGAGGAGGAAGUGUGGACGGAAUGUCAGGGACUGAGGCCAGGGGGAUGCUCCAGGGAAGCGGCACGCAGGGGUGAGUUGGUGUGUAAAGGAGGAGGGAACCGUGCAGUUUGGUUCCGUGACAUAUGGUUGUGGGGUGAACAACUGCUAAAGCGAACACACAAAGAAAACUGGAAAAUCAGUGCUAUGUGUAAGUUUUGAAGUGCGAACUGAAACGAUGCUAUAAAAAUGUUAGGUUCUUUAAAAAUGAAGAAAGUAAUUUUAAUGGUGUGUCUGAGGACGAAGUGAGAAGUCACAAGUUUGGAAAUGACAAAUGUGUGCCAGAGCUAUAAACAUGACCUUUGCUGGUUGUGCUCUAGUACUUGGAGUAUUUAUAUGACCAUGCUAUUUUUCAGUUACAAUAAUAUGUCAGUAACAUACUGCACUAUGCUAUGUGUGCAUAGGUAUGUCCACAGAUGAUUUAGGAAAAAAAACAAAGGUUACCAAGGUGUAAAGGGAAAUUAGUUCAGGUAGUUAGUAUCUAGAUUUUACUUUUGCAUUUCACAGCAUGGUAGCAAAAGUGUGUCUGUUUUCCUGGAAAAUUAGGAUGCAUACCAGCAGAAACUGAUGCAGAGAUUCAGCUUUGUCCUGAAAAAUAGCUUCCACUAUUCCCCAUAGCUUAGUAUUUAGAGCUUGCAGGAUUGGGGCCCAACAAGCCACACAUCCUUCUUACUGUUGUUUGUUUGUUUGUCUUUCCCUUCAGGAAAACAAAACUCUCCAUGUCUCCAUGUAAAAAUGAUUGGAAAUUGAACUUAAGAGGAUCUAGCAUGUGAUUACUUUUUUUAGAUAGGAUUUUCUUCAUAGCUGAAUUGGACCGAGUCUGGUUUUUUUUCCUCCCAAACCAGAUGGUAAGUGAUUCAGUACUUCUAGCAGGAGAAAAAAUAUUUGUUUUCUUUCCUCGGUAGCUGGUGUGAAUGUACUUUUCUUUAUCUAUUUACAUAUUAUGUAAACACACUUUACCAGCAUUUAGGUACGUAGUUUACAGUCCUAGUCCUGCAGAGAGCCCUGUAUGGGCAGGGCCUUGCACACAGAAGGAGCUGCCGUUGCUUACAGAGCACUGUUCACAUGGAACUCAUGGCAGGGUUGUAAGCGUAUUUGCAUUUUGAUGUAUACAUUUACAUUUAUGACACUGUAUGAGGAUGCCAACAGAACCGUAAGUCCACAAAACAGUUGAGUAACUUUGCACACUUCACUUUUUUUCACCUAACAAAGUCUCUGGGGAUGCCUUUGAUCUCUUUGACUGCCUUCCUCUGGUAGGCUGUAGUCCUUGGGACUUUUGAGUCAAAGCUAAAAUUUUAUCCUUAUUAUAGAGUGUUGGGAGGAGUUCUUCUUGGUGUGCAUGGAGGGCGAGGGCCUCAUUUAUGUGACCUUUUGGACUCGUGCUGAUGCUACUAGGUAAUGGUAGAAAUAUUUGGGACAGUAUUAAAAAAGACUUCUUUCACAUGUGUGUGUGAUUUCUCAAGGUUAUCUGCAUCUAUGUUUGUUUCUGUAUAUACAGUGUUAAAACAGAAUGCUAAAUGCAGUGCUGUUCCUUGUUUUGUGCUAAAUAAAACGUAUAUGUAAACCAUA